UACGGGAGGCAGCAGUGGGGAAUAUUGCACAAUGGGCGAAAGCCUGAUGCAGCUAUGCCGCGUGUAUGAAGAAGGCCUUAGGGUUGUAAAGUACUUUCAUCGGGGAGGAAAAAACAAAACUAAUAAUUUUAUUUCUUGACGUUACCCGAAAAAGAAGCACCGGCUAACUCCGUGCCAGCAGCCGCGGUAAUACGGAGGGUGCUAGCGUUAAUCAGAAUUACUGGGCGUAAAGAGCACGUAGGUGGUUUUUUUAAAGUCAGAUGUGAAAUCCCUGGGCUUAACCUAGGAACUGCAUUUUGAAACUGAAAUACUAGAGUAUCGUAGAGGGAGGUAGAAUUCUAGGUGUAGCGGUGAAAUGCGUAGAUAUCUGGAGGAUACCUGUGGCGAAAGCGGCCUCCUAAACGAAUACUGACACUGAGGUGCGAAAGCGUGGGGAGCAAACAGGGAUUAGAUACC
rnacentral:rRNA from 1 species